GGGGACCUACGGGACGCAGCAGUAGGGAAUAUUGCUCAAUGGGGGAAACCCUGAAGCAGCAACGCCGCGUGGAGGAUGAAGGUUUUCGGAUUGUAAACUCCUUUUGUUAGAGAAGAUAAUGACGGUAUCUAACGAAUAAGCACCGGCUAACUCCGUGCUAGCAGCCGCGGUAAUACGGAGGGUGCAAGCGUUACUCGGAAUCACUGGGCGUAAAGAGCGCGUAGGCGGGAUAGCAAGUCAGAUGUGAAAUCCUAUGGCUUAACCAUAAAACUGCAUUUGAAACUGUUAUUCUAGAGUAUGGGAGC
rnacentral:rRNA from 1 species